rnacentral:rRNA from 1 species
CGAGUGAAGCGGGAAAAGCUCAAAUUUAAAAUCUGGCAGUGGUUGUCCGAGUUGUAAUCUAGAGAAGUGUUACCCGCGUUGGACCGUGUACAAGUCUCCUGGAAAGGAGCAUCAUAGAGGGUGAGAAUCCCGUCUUUGACACGGACUGCCAGGGCUGUGUGGUGCGCUCUCAAAGAGUCGAGUUGUUUGGGAAUGCAGCUCAAAAUGGGUGGUAAAUUCCAUCUAAAGCUAAAUAUUGGCGAGAGACCGAUAGCGAACAAGUACCGUGAGGGAAAGAUGAAAAGAACUUUGGAAAGAGAGUUAAACAGUACGUGAAAUUGCUGAAAGGGAAACGCUUGAAGUUAGUCGCGUUGGCUAGAAAUCAACCCUUCCGUGUACUUUCUAAUCCACGGGUCAACAUCAAUUUUGAUUGGUGGAUAAAGGCUUAAGGAAUGGGGCAUCUUAGAUGUGUUAUAACCCUAGUUGGAUACACAGUUGGGAUUGAAGAACUCACACGCCCAAAGGGCGGGAUUCUU